AGCACAAGGUGCACCUGUGUAACGAUCAUGCUGUUUAAUCAGCUUCUUGAUACGCCACAACUGUAUGGUGUAUYGAUUAUCUUGUUAAAUAGGAAAUGCUCACUAACAGGAUGUAAACAAAUUUGUGAUCAAACCUUUAGAGAAAUAAGCUUUUUGUGCAUAUGAAACCAUUUUUGGGAUCUUUUAUUUCAGCUCAUGAAACAUAGGACCAACAAUUUACAUGUGUUUAUAAUUUUGUGUAGUGUAUAUGACUUGGGGGCAUCAUGCAAUGACUUAAGAAUCAUGGGACUGCGAAGUACGCACAUAAGCGACUCAACUUUUGGGAAGCUGCACAUGUGAGCUACUGUGCAGUUUUGAGGGUAUGGCCAUUUGACAAGGUAAAUUGGUUCAUGGAUAGAAAAGUUGGGAAAGGUAACUCCUGGAAAAGUGGAUAAAGUAAUUGCUUUCAAAAAGUUGUAGGGUUUCGUUGCACACUAUUUUAACUCUACAACAAACAGGCUAUUAGUUUUGUAAGGACAUACAGAAAUAAUUGCGACAGUAWUGACUCUGGUCUCAGAAAUAGGUUCAGCAGAGGCAACAACGGAAGAUUUCGGAAGCUCAUUUACCUCCAAACGGUGACAAUCGUCACUUCUCCAGUUCUUCAUCAACCUUAACGGCGGUAUUUCAAUGGAUGAUGGGUUCGUGGACCACGAGUUUCCAAUGGGAGAUGUUUCUUCAACCCGCGAUGGAAUGGAGACACCCAAAGGAUAUCUGCCCUUCAGCACAGUUCAUAGUGGAUGGAGCACCACGUAUGGACGUGUGUCAGGGAGUUCUGAAUGACUGCUGGUUCCUGUCUGUGKUGGCGUCCCUCUCCAUGCAUCGCCYGCUGAUGGAGAGGGUGGUGCCCAAUGGGCAGAGMUUCCAGGAAAGUUACAAUGGCAGAUUUUACUUCCAGGUCAGCCUCUGGAUGUUAAACACACCUAAUUAGGUUGUCAUUAUCUGUCAAGGGUUGUUGAAUUUGCACUCCUGUAUAUAGGAGAUAUGGGCGAAUAACUAUUUCGUUGGAGUUUGUUGAUGUCCAUCUCUGAGAUUAAAAUGAAAACCUGUGUGUGUGUGUACCUGUCUGUAGUUCUGCAAUACGACGAGUGGGAUAAGGUGAAGGUUGACGUGUUGUGUGUGUGUGGGUUGAUUUUCCCACAGGGCCCCCUUGAGUAGAGAAAUGAGUUUGGAAUCCUGUUCAGUCAUGCCUACUCUGUAACCGGGAUUGAACAAGUUGGGUGACUCUCUGUCUCCCMCACUCCUCCACUCCCUCAGGUGAAGACUGUCCUGUGCGUGUGUGUGCAUKCUUGGGGCAGGUUCCUCAAAGUGUUUGUCUGUCCAAAGACCUGAGUGGAGUUGUCCAUGAGGAGGAGCAGAAGCGUCUGGAGUUCAGAAGGAGGACGGGGCGUUCCGGCUGGUUCUGACAGAACCCUCAGUUCCACUUGACCCUGUUGGAGGAGGAUAAUGACCCCAGUGACCUUGAGCUGACCUGUUCCUUCCUGGUGGCCCUCAUGCAGAAGCCCCAGAAACUUAGAGGAGUCCACCUGGGCAUCGGCCUGGAUAUCUACAAGACCUCUUUUCCACGCCUGUCGGCUCUCCUGAAGCCACACGACAGCUCUUUUAAGAAGCACUGCAACAAGGGGAGUGUCGACCUUUGGAGCUUCUCAACCUGCUAACAGAGGCCAUAAAAUGCRGAGGUAAGGGUUUGGCUCCAAACAUGGACAACUAUCCUCCCUCAUAAAUGGGAGCCAAGACACACCUUUUGUGUACACACUUCCGCUUUACAACAUUGCCUCGCCCACAUGCAUCUUGGAAAUUCUGGAGAACUGUACGAAUCCCUCUACUGAUUUAGUAGUCUUCCAUAAGCCAUAACCACUGUGGGAAAAUUCAGGAAGAAGUGAUGUCACUGCAGGAGGAGGUUUUAACUUUUCCUAACUGAUGUUUUGUCUGUGUGGCUAUAUAUAUAUAUAUAUAUCAUGUCUCAGCGUGGCUAUAUAGUUAGUAGUUGAUAUAGAUCAAUAGCCAUGUUAAUAUAGGUUAAAUGUUUGCCAGAUUCUGGUGUAGCGGUCUAAGCGCAUAUGUGCCCCCUGGCGAUGCCUCGGCUUGGCCGAUUGUUUGAAAUUCAUAGCUCCCCCCAUAAAAGGGCUAUGUAAUGUGUAACGUUACACACAUGCCAUGUAUGUACAUAGACAUACAAAGGUAGGGUAACUUGUCCACCAUGACCUCACUUGGUCUGCUGAUCUACCAAGACCUUMAUUUUGUCAUGCAUUUUUGAUGGACCAUUUCCUUGACUGCAGUGUCAACCCAGAGUCGGGGGUUAGCUCAGCUAGACUGGCAGGGGUUCCAGGCACUGUGGGACAAGAUCAGGAAAUGUAAAUGGACGAUAAGGUCUAAACCAUACUAAACCGUCUGUCAGUGGAAGGUUUACAAUUUCAAUCACUCUGUUCUUUCAAAAUGAUGAGAAGAUUGGACAGUAGUUUGAUUGGCUAAAGCAUGUUUUGUGUCUUGGAAGUCUAAUUUGGAUUGGCUAAAGGAAAUAUUAAAGUGACUUCUGAUUCAGUCAUGUGUCACUGAGCUAAUUCAAUCACACGACCUGUUGCGAUGCAUGUGAAGUGAUUGAAUUAUAUUUGUCUGAAAAGAUUAUUCAGUCAUGCUGGUCUUGAUCUUCCACUUAACAAAAGGAUAUAUUCAUGACGUUUGACAAUAACAAAUCCCAGUUGCUGGAGUACCCUGAAGUCUCACCUACCUUGAAAGCUGCAGGUAGGACACACUUAUGAUAUGACAAGCUUCCAUUGGUGCCUUUUAGGGGGCACCAAAACACCACUCUUCAUGUUCAGUCCCUAUUGGUCCAUAUGAACAGUAUGCCAACAGCAUUUACACUGCUGAAACAGCAGGGGAUGUGGUUGAACAUGAAUUGAUCUGUGUUCGUCUGGUCUGGUCUAGGCAUGGCGGUGGAUGACUUCGUCCUGCAGCUGAUUGGCCCGCGCUACACGGAGCCGGACAUGACAAUCAGUUACCCCGGUUUCCUUUAUCUGCUGAUGGAACUGGACAACAUGAUCCAUACAUUUCAAGACUAUGUAUGACAUUGUGGGAAUGGGGACCAUAUCAGUCAGCUACAGACAGUGGCUCCACAUGACGAUAUACAACUGACGAUGGCUCCACAUGACUAUGUACAGUACAACUGACCCGAUGUGCAACUGAUCCAAUCUCACUGGAUUUCAGCCCCUCCUCCGCCUGUUCAACWGGUUUUUGUUGCAAUAUUGUUUAAAAUGAAAAGUUACAGUAGAUUUACUUUGCAAUAAAGACUUCCAGUUAUUUGUUCCGAA